CAUGGAGAGACCGUCCAAGAUGGCCGAAGCGGAAGGAAACCUUAGCCUACAUACAGCUCUGCGUUUCCCAGCGUGGGUUCUAAGGAAUAUCAAUCUCACUGCGAGAAACCAGGCAAAACCGGGAUUCCCAAACCCUGACAAACCAUAUUUCACGUUGAACCAAGAACCAAAGCCAAAUAUUUAUUGCUUUAAAAAACUGACUUAAAGCCAACGAAGACAUCAUUUAAAAGAUGAAUAGGGAGUGAAUCUUUUCGAACCAAAACCAAGACUUCAGCGUGGCAUCUCAGUGAAAUAAGAGCCUUCGUUCACUCAGUUGAGCCUUGUAUGAGUCCCCACCACAGAGCAGGGGCUGAGGACACAACGGUAGCCAGACAGGCGCGGUCCCUGCCCUCCCGGAGCUCAGACUCUGGUAGGGGGACUCUAGAGAAGAAAGCAGGUGCUUCUGAGUCAGGCCAAGAAGGGCUCCGAGGGGGUAGGACAGGUGUCCUUGAUCCUGAGAGGGGCCUCCUGUUCCCGGGCAGAGUGAUAUGAGGCUCAGCCAGGAGACUGAGUCAGAGGCAGCCCACAGGGCGAAGGGAGGCAUGGUUAAGAUUGCUGUAGACGGAGAGCAGUACACGCAAAGGACCCGGGGUGAUGGUGCAGGGGCAGCUGAGAGGUGAGCACAGCACAGACCACCGAGGCGCUAGAGGAUGUCCCAGAGAGCCGGGCCUCUGCCCUGACAGUGCCGGGGAGCCAGCAAAGGCACUAGGCAGAGGCAUGACCAGAUCGCAGUCCCACUUGGUAUCGAUUUACUCUCCCGAACGAACUUGCACGGAAACGUGUCGUUCAAGCGUGACGAGCCCCGAUUCCCACAGGGCUGUUCGGGCAGGAGGAAGGCCCAGCCCCAUAAUGAAUCCGUGGGUCUGGGCAGAGGCUGCAGACCCAGAGGGGAGUCUCGCGUGCCGAGGGCAGCUGGGCUCUGAAGGCCAGCACCCUCUGAGCAGCCCCCCGAGCUUCUGCCUCUGCAGAGAUCCCCCUCCGCAGGGGUGGGAGGGGCCGCUUGAUCUGGGAGCCAGCAGCGCUGUUGGUUACACAGCCGCCAGGAGAGAGCAUGUGCCGCUUGGGAACGUCACACACGUGCCGACGAAGAAAUCAAAGCGAGUCAAGGCGGCUUCCAAGAGCCCACCCCUCGUCCAACAAGGAAAAGGAAUCCUUUGCGUGGCUCAGAAAUCAAACUUCUGGAGGAAAUGCAAGCGGGAGAGGGAAAGAGGCAAGGUUGCUUCGGUGGAUGGGCAGGUGCCCGGAGAGGGAAGGUGGGGGGGUUGCAGGGGCAGCUGCUCAAAAGGGAAUUUGGGGAAGCACCGUCCUACUGGAUGAGUCUCCCCUUGCGUCAACUUGUGCGACCCCAACAAACUCUCGGAUGCGUCUUUCUCAACGCGUCUGGAGUCUAACGUGUUCUUGCGUGCUCCCCGUGGGCCGGUGUGCAGGCAAGGGGCUCACGGGGGUCCGGCUACGUUGGAGUUACGUGGACAUUUCUCCUUCGGUCCUCACAAUAAGCCUUUGAAGUAAGUCUUGUCAGCCCCACAGCCCAGAGAGGGUGGGAAAUCGGCUGCGGUUGCCCCGCUGGAGGUCUGGACGGACACCCAGCAAGACGGAUGGAGGGAAACAGCUUGUCGACUGAGGGAUAAAUGCAGCUGUCCGUAAACAAGACCCGUGUGAGCAGCUGUGGGGAUGAGGACACCACUGGGGACGGCUCUGUUGGCUUCCCGGCCGGAGGGCAGGAGAGGUGGUACUGGAAGGCAGCCGAGGCCUCAUGGCCCAGAAGGGAUGAGAGCGAGUCAGAAGGAGCCGAGGGGGCUUCCCGGGCCCACCCCUGGAAUCACGAGCUCAGGCCCUGGGGGAGGCCUCCCAGCCUGGCGACAGACCCUCCCAGGAACCCACGACCCCAGAGCUGCCCUCAGCCCCCAAAGCCGAGGGCUUCCCUCUCCUGACAGGCUGGUGGCUCCGUGGGACGAAACCAGAGCCAGCCUUUGGGACCUUUCUGGGACACACUGGGACCUUUCUCCCACGACUGGUCUCUGAGCCGAGGAAACCAGAUGUCAGCCGGGAAGGAACGCACCAGGGUCCGGCCUGGCUUUCCCCAGGGCAGUGAGUGUCUUGCACUGGGCGCUGUGACUCGCCUGCCUUUCCUUGUGCGGAGGCUGACGGACUCUGACUUGGGGAGACAGCCCCCCACCCCGCGAGAUCCUGCCUCGGCGGGGCUGUCAGUCAAGGGUGGCCAGGUGACCUGAGCCGGGGCCCUCGGAACUUUCUCCCCGGAUUUGGGAGCCCAGGGCACAGUUCCCACUCUGCUAUCCCCUCUGCAAGGCGCCUGGUAUCCUUCCAGAACAUUCCUUCUCUGCUUA